AUACGGAGGAUGCGAGCGUUAUCCGGAUUUAUUGGGUUUAAAGGGAGCGUAGGUGGGAUAUUAAGUCAGCUGUGAAAGUUUGGGGCUCAACCUUAAAAUUGCAGUUGAUACUGGUUUCCUUGAGUACGGUACAGGUGGGCGGAAUUCGUGGUGUAGCGGUGAAAUGCUUAGAUAUCACGAAGAACUCCGAUCGCGAAGGCAGCUCACCGGGCCGGAACUGACACUGAUGCUCGAAAGUGCGGGUAUCUAACAGGAUUAGAUACCCUGGUAGUCCGCACAGUAAACGAUGAAUACUCGCUGUUUGCGAUACACUGUAAGCGGCCAAGCGAAAGCGUUAAGUAUUCCACCUGGGGAGUACGCCGGCAACAGUGAAACUCAAAUGAAUUGACGGGG
rnacentral:rRNA from 1 species